AGAGUUUGAUCCUGGCUCAGGAUGAACGCUAGCGACAGGCCUAACACAUGCAAGUCGAGGGGCAGCGGGGAGGUAGCAAUACCUUUGCCGGCGACCGGCGCACGGGUGAGUAACACGUAUGCAAUCCACCUGUAACAGGGGGAUAACCCGGAGAAAUCCGGACUAAUACCCCAUAAUAUGGGCGCUCCGCAUGGAGAGUUCAUUAAAGAGAGCAAUUUUGGUUACAGACGAGCAUGCGCUCCAUUAGCCAGUUGGCGGGGUAACGGCCCACCAAAGCGACGAUGGAUAGGGGUUCUGAGAGGAAGGUCCCCCACAUUGGAACUGAGACACGGUCCAAACUCCUACGGGAGGCAGCAGUGAGGAAUAUUGGUCAAUGGACGAGAGUCUGAACCAGCCAAGUCGCGUGAGGGAAGACUGCCCUAUGGGUUGUAAACCUCUUUUAUAAGGGAAGAAUAAGUUCUACGUGUAGAAUGAUGCCUGUACCUUAUGAAUAAGCAUCGGCUAACUCCGUGCCAGCAGCCGCGGUAAUACGGAGGAUGCGAGCGUUAUCCGGAUUUAUUGGGUUUAAAGGGUGCGUAGGCGGCACGCCAAGUCAGCGGUGAAAUUUCCGGGCUCAACCCGGAGUGUGCCGUUGAAACUGGCGAGCUAGAGUACACAAGAGGCAGGCGGAAUGCGUGGUGUAGCGGUGAAAUGCAUAGAUAUCACGCAGAACCCCGAUUGCGAAGGCAGCCUGCUAGGGUGAAACAGACGCUGAGGCACGAAAGCGUGGGUAUCGAACAGGAUUAGAUACCCUGGUAGUCCACGCAGUAAACGAUGAAUACUAACUGUUUGCGAUACAAUGUAAGCGGUACAGCGAAAGCGUUAAGUAUUCCACCUGGGGAGUACGCCGGCAACGGUGAAACUCAA
rnacentral:rRNA from 1 species